rnacentral:rRNA from 1 species
CCUACGGGUGGCUGCAGUAAGGAAUAUUGGACAAUGGCGGAGACGCUGAUCCAGCUAUCCCGCGUGCAGGAUGAAGGACCUAUGGUUUGUAAACUGCUUUAGACUGGGGCGAAAAAGUGGGAUUUAUCCUACAUUGACGGUCCCAGUAAAAUAAGCACCGGCUAACUCCGUGCCAGCAGCCGCGGUAAUACGGAGGGUGCAAGAAUUACCCGGAAUCACGGGUGCGUAAGCGUGCGUAGGAGUCAGGCUAGAAAGGCCACGGCUUAACCGUGGGAUUGCUUUUGAUACUGGCGAGCUUGGAUUAGGACGAGGUUGGCGGAAUGUGGCAAGUAGCGGUGAAAUGCAUAGAUAUGCCAUAGAAUACCGAUUGCGAAGGCAGCUGACUAGACCUAUAUUGACGCUGAGGCACGAAAGCGUGGGGAGCGAACAGGAUUAGAUACCCUUGUAGUC